AUGGAAACCCCUGCUCACCUUCUCUACCUCCUACUGCUUUGGUUCCCAGGUACCACCGGACAAAUCAUUAUGAUGCAGUCUCCAGCCUCGCUAUCUCUGUCUCCAGGAGAAAGUGCCACCCUAACUUGCAAGGCCAGUCAGAGUGUUAGCAACAACUUAGCCUGGUACCAGCAGAAACCUGGUCAGAGUCCCCGGCUCCUCAUGUAUAGUGCAUCCACCAGGGCCACUGGCAUCCCAACCCGGUUCAGUGGCAGUGGGUCUGGUACAGACUUCACUCUCACCAUUAAUAGACUGGAACCUGAUGAUUUUGCAGUUUAUUAUUGUCAGCAGUAUAAUAGUGGUAAUGCACCGUGA